GAUGAACGCUGGCGGCGUGCCUAAUACAUGCAAGUCGAGCGAAUGGAUUAAGAGCUUGCUCUUAUGAAGUUAGCGGCGGACGGGUGAGUAACACGUGGGUAACCUGCCCAUAAGACUGGGAUAACUCCGGGAAACCGGGGCUAAUACCGGAUAACAUUUUGAACCGCAUGGUUCGAAAUUGAAAGGCGGCUUCGGCUGUCACUUAUGGAUGGACCCGCGUCGCAUUAGCGAGUUGGUGAGGUACCGGCUCACCAAGGCAACGAUGCGUAGCCGACCUGAGAGGGUGAUCGGCCAAACUGGGACUGGGACACGGCCCAGACUCCUACGGGAGGCAGCAGUAGGGAAUCUUCCGCAAUGGACGAAAGUCUGACGGAGCAACGCCGCGUGAGUGAUGAAGACUUUCGGGUCGUAAAACUCUGUUGUUAGGGAAGAACAAGUGCUAGUUGAAUAAGCUGACACCUUGACGGUACCUAACCAGAAAGCCACGGCUAACUACGUGCCAGCCGCCGCGGUAA
rnacentral:rRNA from 1 species